AUUAUUAUAACAUAAAUAAUGUAUUAAUUUUAGAGAUUAAUUAUAUAUAAAUUUUAAUUUAUAUUAAUAAUU
rnacentral:tRNA from 1 species